rnacentral:rRNA from 1 species
AUUGAACGCUGGCGGAAUGCUUUACACAUGCAAGUCGAACGGCAGCACGGACUUCGGUCUGGUGGCGAGCGGCGAACGGGUGAGUAAUGUAUCGGAACGUGCCCAGUCGUGGGGGAUAACGUAGUGAAAAUUACGCUAAUACCGCAUACGAUCUAUGGAUGAAAGCGGGGGAUCGCAAGACCUCGCGCGAUUGGAGCGGCCGAUAUCAGAGUAGGUAGUUGGUGGGGUAAAGGCCCACCAAGCCAACGAUCUAUAGCUGGUCUGAGAGGACGAACAGCCACACUGGAACUGAGACACGGUCCAGACUCCUACGGGAGGCAGCAGUGGGGAAUUUUGGACAAUGGGCGAAAGCCUGAUCCAGCCAUUCCGCGUGCAGGAUGAAGGCCCUCGGGUUGUAAACUGCUUUUGUACAGAACGAAAAGGUUUCUACUAAUACUAGGAGCUCAUGACGGUACUGUAAGAAUAAGCACCGGCUAACUACGUGCCAGCCGCCGCGGUAA